GUGACUGCGUACCUUUUGUAUAAUGGGUCAGCGACUUAUAUUCUGUAGCAAGGUUAACCGAAUAGGGGAGCCGGAGGGAAACCGAGUCUUAAUUGGGCGUUAAGUUGCAGGGUAUAGACCCGAAACCCGGUGAUCUAGCCAUGGGCAGGUUGAAGGUUGGGUAACACUAACUGGAGGACCGAACCGACUAAUGUUGAAAAAUUAGCGGAUGACCUGUGGCUGGGGGUGAAAGGCCAAUCAAACCGGGAGAUAGCUGGUUCUCCCCGAAAGCUAUUUAGGUAGCGCCUCGUGAAUUCAUCUCCGGGGGUAGAGCACUGUUUCGGCUAGGGGGCCAUCCCGGCUUACCAACCCGAUGCAAACUGCGAAUACCGGAGAAUGUUAUCACGGGAGACACACGGCGGGUGCUAACGUCCGUCGUGAAGAGGGAAACAACCCAGACCGCCAGCUAAGGUCCCAAAGUCAUGGUUAAGUGGGAAACGAUGUGGGAAGGCCCAGACAGCCAGGAUGUUGGCUUAGAAGCAGCCAUCAUUUAAAGAAAGCGUAAUAGCUCACUGGUCGAGUCGGCCUGCGCGGAAGAUGUAACGGGGCUAAACCAUGCACCGAAGCUGCGGCAGCGACGCUGAUGCGUUGUUGGGUAGGGGAGCGUUCUGUAAGCCUGUGAAGGUGUGUCGUGAGGCAUGCUGGAGGUAUCAGAAGUGCGAAUGCUGACAUAAGUAACGAUAAAGCGGGUGAAAAGCCCGCUCGCCGGAAGACCAAGGGUUCCUGUCCAACGUUAAUCGGGGCAGGGUG
rnacentral:rRNA from 1 species